rnacentral:misc_RNA from 1 species
AGCUACUGAAACUCGUAAAGAAGAUUCUUCCAGAGGGUAACACAUUGCCAUCGACAACGUAUCAAGCAAAACGUGUUGUUUGCCCUCUCGGUUUGGAGGUGCAGAAGAUACAUGCGUGUCCUAAUGACUGUAUCCUCUAUCGCGGACAGUACGAACACUUGGAUCGUUGUCCGGUUUGCACCUGCGCACGAUACAAGAUCAGGCGGGACGACCCUGGUGAUGUUGGGGGAGAGCGUUCUAAGAAAAAAAUCCCUGCGAAGGUGAUGUGGUAUUUCCCUCUGAUACCCCGUCUGAAGCGUUUGUUCAGGAACAAAGACCAUGCCAAACUGAUGCGCUGGCACAAAGAAG